ensembl:rRNA 5S_rRNA 5S ribosomal RNA
GCUGGCAGCUUGCUCUUUUUAAUUCUCACAUGGUCACUCACUGAAGCUAAGCAAGGCUGAGCCUGGUUAGUACCUGAAUGGGAGACCACAUGGGAAAACUAGGUUGGUGCCAGAA